rnacentral:lncRNA from 1 species
CUCAGGACCCGGGCCCUUCCCAUUAACUGAAGGCAGAAGUCCGCAGAAGGCCGCAGAACUCCGCAGAAGGCCGCAGAACUCCGCAGAAGGCCGCAGAACUCCGCAGAAGUCCGCACACAGUAAGGAAGUUGCCUCCGCGUCCAGCCCGCUGAUUGAGCAGGCCGAGAGCCAAUGCGCAAAGAAGGUCCACUAAUUAUGGAGAACCAAAGUUUUUUCUUAAAACUGACGGGACAAUCGAUGAACCUGACCACUGCAGACAUGGACUUCCCUAAACUUCAAUCUGUGGAGAGAGGCCUCAGAGUCUUCACUCGCUAUUUCAUUUUCAGGCUCCUUCCAGCAAAAUAAAAGUAAAAACAAC